UGGUGGAGUGAUUUGUCUGGUUAAUUCCGAUAACGAACGAGACCCCGUCCUACUUACUAGACUUGAGAUGAUUUUCAUCUCUUGAAUCUUCUUAGAGGGACAACUGGCGUAGAUCUAGCUACAUGAAAUGGGGCAAUAACA
rnacentral:rRNA from 1 species